UUUUGUAUGUUGAAGGUGUAU
rnacentral:miRNA from 2 species